UACAGGUGAACGUGCAUGUACAGGUGGAGCAUACAGGUGGAGCGUACAUGUGCAGGUGAAGCGUGCAUGUACAGGUGGAGCAUACAGGUGGAGCGUGCAUGUACAGGUGAACGUGCAUGUACAGGUGGAGCGUGCAUGUACAGGUGAACGUGCAUGUACAGGUGGAGCAUACAGGUGGAGCGUGCAUGUACAGGUGGAGCAUACAGGUGGAGCAUGCAUGUACAGGUGGAGCGUACAGGUGGAGCGUACAUGUACAGGUGAAGCGUGCAUGUACAGGUGGAGCACAUGUGUUUCUGUAAGGGCAGAUGUUUCACCUCCAGGACGCCGGCUGUGGCUGUAAAUGUGUUAAUGCUGCUUGUACUCACUGAGUUAAUAAUGGCGGCUGGUUCUAGACACACUUGGGCUUCUGGUUGUGGGAGGGUCUGUCUGAUGUCUUGCCAUUUCUAAAAAGUAAUUAGUCAUUUAAAUGUGUACAAGGUUAGGAAUGAAAAUGAGUUUAAAAUACCUGAAUAGUUCCAGGCUUUUCCUUAAAUAUGUGCUCAUUCACAAGGCUGUUUGUGAAGCCACAUCAGCAUCUUCCUCAUGAUGCAGCGAUUGCUCGACUCAUAUCUACUGAUUGAUCCAUAUCAGGCUUUCGCAUUAAACAGAAUUCUUUCACUCUUACAUCACAGAUCUGUCUUAUCCAGCCUGUUCCCAGCUACAUUUCCAUGGAGUUAGUCAGUGGUGUUGAAGGCAUCACAUUGUCCUUCAUUAGCUACGUUCGUUUGCCACAUCCUGCCUUCGCCUUGUGUCAGAGGUGAGGUGUAAACGUGCUGGUUGCUGCCACAAGAGCUUCCCAGACAGCUGAUUUAAUGCUGGAGAUUUGGGGAAAACACUGAGCACCUAUGAGGAGUUAAAAUGCCUAAUAUCUGGAUUGUAGGGCCUUUUCUGAUAAAUGCUGGACUCCCUCUGUAGCUCAACCCCUGAGCUGGGUUUGACAUUAUUUGAAUGAAACAGGGCUAAGCAUUGUGUCAGCUGUUUACAGUAAUGGAAGUUGUUGAUCACAGACAUGUUUUUAUGUAUUUACAUACUGAGUUUGCUCCCCAUAGAAGGGAAUCUUGUACAGAUUGUUAUUUAUUUCAAGUGUGUGUGUGAAAGAGUGUGUGUGACAUAAGGGAAGAUAUGUUGAUAUAAAUGCAGAUGGACCACGGACCAUGGUUUGCCAUCAUGGAUGUGCACCUGAGUGAACAUGUUUACCGUUGCGUGGCUGCGACCCACAUGUGGCCAGCCACAUCCUCUCUGCUCAUGCUUUUCAAAGCUUCUGUUGGUCUUGUUUUGGUUGAGAAGCUGCAGCAGGAGUAACACAGAGGGUGUUUCAGAAAGAAGACUCCAAAAAGCUGGACAUGUCAAGCCAUUUCACAAGGUCAGCAUCUUCUUUAUGUCCCUGCAGCACACCUGGGCCAUCCAGAGGAUCCAUAAACAAUUAAAAGAGAAAGCUACUACAGUUUUAUGUGCACUGCGAUAGAUUUGUCCUGUUUGAAGAAGUGAGUGAAACUAUGAAGCACAAUAGAAAAGCCAGACGAUCUCAGAAUCCUUCAUAUUUUCCAUCACACAGUUUGCUCCAAGUCCUGAGAGUUUCUAGAAUUUCCUGGUAUUUCUGAAAAGUGAUGAGACAAUAAUCACAGAAUUAUCUGCGUUUGAAGCGGGUCCUGUUGGUAAUGCUGCUGGUUUGUUUGGGAAAAAAAAAAUAACAUCAUUAAAAGAGUGGAAGCACUCUGGAAACACAA